GGGGAUUUAGCUCAGCGGCAUAGCGCCUGCCUUGCAAGCAGGUGGUAGUGAGUUUGAUCCCCG
rnacentral:tRNA from 1 species